ensembl:lncRNA
GCCACCCUAGCUGGACUGUGUGAGGGAGAAGCUUCCAGGCAUGGACCUGUGCCGUGCCUGCUUGAGGUUUUCUGAAGCUCUGUGGAUGAGUUUUCCCUGCCUGCUGUGUCACUAUGCCUCACGAUUUCUCACAGCCUCGGCUGACACAUCUGGGCACAGGGGCGGCUUCCCAGGAGUCUGAGCGGCAGACCGGGUGUGGAGGGGGGGGGACACAGCUCCUGUCCAGGUUCCUUUGGCCAUUGGCUCCACACACACCUGCUCAUGACUGUCCCCACAGUGGCAGAACACGCUUUGUCAGCAAUUGGCACCUUCAGGGAUUUCACCCGUAGCAGGUGGAGCAGGAAUGUUGAUGGGGCAACUGGAGAUUCAGCAACUGUUUUGUAACCACAAGGCCACAAAUCCUCUGCAGAAGUAACAGAGACAAGCUCGAGUCUUUUGUGAUGUCACAGAGACAAACCACUGAUGCAGAAAUAUCCGUCUAUUGGAUUUCCAAGAUAAUUAAAUGUUUGCAUCACUUAAACCACUGAUACUUGAAACUCAAAACAUUUCUAAUAUAUAUUGCCUCUUCUGAGAACUUGGUUUCACAAUUCCCAGGUGGUACCUUAUGGAUAUGGUUUAUGCAAGGAAAAUGAUGAGCAGCUUCAAUGAGGGGAUCCAUCUUCAGAAGUGCUGGUUACCAUCAACUAGGGGACCCAUCCCCAAAGACACCCCGGUAACCAUCAAUAAGGGAACCACCCUCAAAAGUCUGUCAGCUAAGGGACCCAUCCUUAAAGUUGCUGGACACCAUCAGCUAGGGGACCCAUUCAUCAAGAUGUUGGCUAGUAUUGGCACCUCUGUAUACUGUAAGUGAAAAUUCAAGGGUCUGUGUUGAAUUUCUUGUUGUCUAUAUAACAAGAAAAAUAUUAGUCAAACCUACUAUGUGGGAGAGUUUAUAGGGUACCUGGCUGGUACUUCUGAGUGUUGUCAAGACCUUGAAAAACAAGAGUGAUGGGAGAAACUGUCACAGAGCAUUGGAGGCUCACAGAGACAGACAUGGAAGCUGAAUGCACCUGGUAGGAAGGAUACGUAUACAAGGAGGACAUUAAUUUAAAUAAUGGUGAAUUUAGCCAAACAUAGUGAUAUAGGCCUAUAAUUCUAUUGGGAGGCAGAAGUAGGGGGAACUUGAGUGCAGGGCUGGUCUGGUAUACAUAGAGAGACCCUGCCUCAAAAACCCAAAGGAUCAGUGGUAGAGCGCCUGCCUUCCCAACGCCACCAGGAGAAAAAGUACUAGGGAAAUUCAAAUGGAAUCUGGAGUUUAGUGAAUGAGAUUCACCAAUACCAGCUUGGCUUUGAGAAGCACAUAAUGAUAAUGUAAGAUACUUACAGCAUGGGAGGUGAGCAAGGCUCACCUCUGUCCUGCUGUGGAAUUGUCCUGUAAAUUCCCAAUCUUUUAAAAAAGAGUUAACCUAAAAAUACUACGUGUGAGUGGUUAGUUAUCUGGUCAAAGUGCAGAGAACUAGUGACUGUCUAGCACUCAGCUCUACAUGUGACAUCCCUACCACACUGUCCCUUCCCAAGGUUCAGGGAGCAUUGAGGAGGAGGGAGUUGGACAGAUUUUGAGCUGGAGAAAGGACCGCUGUGACCCGGUGUCUUCUGGACACAACAGUCAUGAACACACAGCACCUGUGGCUGCUUGCACAUGACCAACACAAGAUCAAGCAGCCAACGUUCCAGCAUGGAUGGGGAGGCAGAGCCUACAAAGAUCCACCCCUAGCUGAGGAACUAUGGGCAGUUGAUGGCUACUGAGUGAGGAAGAGUCAUCUUUCUUCAGGGGCGUGGCCCAUGGUAGGCUGCCCAUGCUCCUACCGUUUGGAGGACGGCUCCAAACCCAUGUGCCUACGGGCAGCCCUAAAUGGACUCACUGAGUUAUCUAAAAAACAAACCAAAGAGGACAAGCAGUUGGGAGGGG